rnacentral:misc_RNA from 1 species
CGCACAUUGCGCCUUUUGGUACUCCGAGAGGCAUGCCUGUCUGAGCGUCAGUAUAUACUCGUACAACUUUAUGUUGAGCGGCUAUGAGUUUGUGUGUGAGCACAUCCUUGAAAUGUAUAGGUGAUGUCGGUUGACGUACAGUUCACAGUUUGAAUUAGUCAAUCACUAGGCAGCACGUAAUAUUCUGAACUUUGACCUCAGAUCAGGUAGGGAUACCCGCUGAACUUAA